rnacentral:rRNA from 1 species
AACGCGAAGAACCUUACCUGGGCUCGAACGGCUUCUGAAGUUUGGUGGAAACACUGAAUGUCCCGCAAGGGACAGGAGUCGAGGUGCUGCAUGGCUGUCGUCAGCUCGUGUCGUGAGAUGUUGGGUUAAGUCCCGCAACGAGCGCAACCCUUGUCCUGUGUUGCGACCCGCAAGGGAGCACUCUCAGGAGACCGCCAACGAUAAGUUGGAGGAAGGUGGGGAUGACGUCAAGUCAUCAUGGCCUUUAUGUCCAGGGCUACACACGUGCUACAAUGGGCGGUACAAAGCGCAGCGAACUCGUGAGAGGGAGCAAAUCGCAAAAAACCGUUCUCAGUUCGGAUUGCAGGCUGCAACUCGCCUGCAUGAAGCUGGAAUCGCUAGUAAUGGCAUAUCAGAACGAUGCCGUGAAUACGUUCCCGGGCCUUGUACACACCGAGACGUA